GCGGGAGUGCUGGAAUUGGCAGACAGGCUAGACUAAGGAUCUAGUUCGGAGUUCCGAGUGAGGGUUCAAGUCCCUUCUCCCGCA
rfam:Eubacterium uniforme strain ATCC 35992 genome assembly, contig: EI43DRAFT_scaffold00001.1